GUCUACAGAUCUUGUGUGUUGCCUAAACGGUCCAAUAGACUAAGGGAUAGGUGAAGGGAAAGGUGACAGACGUACUUUCGGUAAAUCCUUAGACUUAUUUCGGUAAUUCGGAGAUUUAUAAAAUAUUGUGACUUACAAUCUUUUAAAUGCACUCGGAAUGUGUGUGAUACUAAGGAUUUUUUCGGACGGGCUUACAAAAUGAUUCACAAUCUGUGAAAUACAUACCGAAUGUGUGUGAUACUAAUGAUGUUUUUGGACGAUCUUACAUUUAUUCAACAACUAAAUUGUGUUCUACUGUUAUUUCUUAUCCUGAAAUUGAACUCUUGUUCUCCCACAGGAGACUUCUAAAAAAUGCAAGCGCAAAGUGGUGAGUCAAUCAGUCGUCUGAGGCUUUAUUCUUCCAGCGAAAACAUUCUGAGAUAUCCAAACGAGAGGAGCCUAGACUAUAGCACAUUACUCAAGAUAAACAUAGAAAAAAAGUUUACUGACAACAUAUCUCCUAACAUUGCUCAAAACAUUUUUAAUAUUUUUGAUAAAUACAACAGUAGUGUUUUAUUGGAGCCCUUCAACAUCACCACAGUGCUAACAGCUAAAGAGUUAUUGAAUCAUUUAACAAAAUAAGAAAACUGGUUUCCAACCUUGCUGAAGUGCUUAAAGGACAAACAAAUACGGCUCAAUAAAUUAGCCAAAGAUCUGCAGAAAAUUGAAGGUAACGUCCGACAGAGCAGACAAAGACAACAACUUAAUGUCCAGGAGUAUUCUUACCAUGGCAGACGUGGUUUUAAUUUCUUUGGCUGGUUUAGAAGACGUAGACCAGAAAACAAUCAUUUCACUGCCAGUGAAUCCAACUUAUGCAUCACACAAACUGACUCUAA
rnacentral:sRNA from 1 species